rnacentral:rRNA from 1 species
UACGUAGGAGGCGAGCGUUGUCCGGAUUUACUGGCGUAAAGGGCGCGCAGGCGGCAUACCAAGUACGAAGUGAAAUCUCCCUGCUCAACGGGGAGGGUGCUUUGUAGACUGGUAAGCUCGAGGACGGUAGAGGGGGGUAGAAUUGCUGGUGUAGCGGUGAAAUGCGUAGAUAUCAGGAGGAACACCGAUGGCGAAGGCAGGUCUCUGGGCCACUACUGACGCUGAGAAGCGAAAGCAUGGGGAGCGAACAGG